GUAGAUGACCAUCAAACUCUCCUAUGAUAAUGUAAGAUACACUUUAUUGUUUCAGUUGCAAUAGGAGCAAACAAAAUAUUGAUCAUAGGAUAUAGCUAUAUACUGGAUAUAUAAACUAUAUAUAAAAACUCACCAUGGGCAAAUCUGGCACUCAGUGUAGAAGCUUUACGUCAAAGCUUUAUGACAUGAAUAAAUUAUUGCUUGGACUGUUAACUGCAAUUCUGUGGAACUCUUCUUUGAGAAGUCUGCUGGGUCCGUGACUUGGGAACACUACAAACGUGUAUAGUAGCCGUUUCAGUGCAAGUGUCACAUUUCGAACAUCCCUUGGACACAUGCUCUGCAUCACCAACGUUUUACAAAAAACUGCCGUUGGCAAAAAAACGCAGUGCAAUACAAAUAAUUUCCUCGGAACUGAGAGCGUGUCCACGAUGUGUCAUGUGAACUGUGUGAGGGCUGAGAAUAUUGUUUAGAUAAAUUAUAGAUGAUGCAGAGAAACGGAAACGCUCAAACAGGUACUCAUCAGGGAAUGAUAAAAAAUCCAAUCGGGGCCUAAUAACCCUCUCCCGACGGAGAUUUCUGCGGAGUAUCUGCGCCUCGACAUCCACUGGCUCUUCAAUAAAAGGACACGCCAUGUCUGCCACUGCCUUCCGUCUGCAGGCUUCAACUUGAGAGCAGGUGAAACUCAGGGUUAGUUGAAGAAAACCUGCCAGCGAGCAGGUUAGUUUCACAGAGUAUGUUGCUAGGGUAACUGACUCAGAGUUAAGCUGAACUGGCUAUGUGAAACCGAAAAACCUGAGUUUCCCUCAUCUCGGGUUUAACUAACUCCGAGUUAUCAACAAGCUCUGAGUUAAAACCUUAACUAUAGGUUGACCAACUCUGAGCUGUAAAAGUCUGAGUUUUCGGUUUCAGAACAGGUGAUAACGCUUAGUUCAAUCAACUCUGAGUCAAGGUAACUCUGAGUGAAGCUCGUGCAUGAGGAUAUAAAAAGCCCUCAUCAAUGGAACACAGAUAACAUGAUUCACCAUGGCAACAAGUACUAACAAGCCUCGAUCCUCCUACUUCUCCCCAGCGGAGUUGCAAAUCUUAAUGACUGCAUAUGCAGAAAGCGAGCAUAUCUUUUUACUAAAAAUCAAUACUUUGGCAGCAGCCAAAAAGCGGGAGCUCGCGUGGGAAAAAAUAGCUGACCGAGUCAAUGUGUGCAACCCAACAGGCCCCAAACUGACUUGGCAGCAACUAAAAAUGAUACAUAAAUGUAGUUCAAACAGACAACAGAAAAAAGGCAGAGGCACGCAAAACAGGUGGCGGUCCACCACCACCACCUCUCACAGAGGCUGAAGAGAUGGCAUCUCUGGGGGGAGCUCAUCGGAACCAGCCACGCCCCCAUGACACAGGGGCCUACAUAAGAGUUACUGAUGAUGGUGUAAUCUGUCUCGUGGAGCCUUCUGCCAUAACACACCUCCAUGCUGUUGAUGAUGAUGAAGACACCUUAUCAGCUGCCACAGAGAGUGAAGUAAUAACUUUGGUUUCAGUUAAUUGCUCCACAAUACAACUUGCAACUUCUUUCUCUCUAACAGAGCAAUGCCGGAAGUUACAAUGAGGAAGAAGGUCCAUCAACCUCAACAGCACAGCUUACCUCAGUAAGAUGUUGUUCAGCGUUGACCCACAACUUACAAUGACACUAAGUAGACAUGGCACUGUGAAAUUCAACGUCAUUUAUGUUCCUAUAGCUCCCUGUGAAACAACUUUACAAAGUAUAUAUUUAGAAGCCCAAAUAAACAAAUCCCACCUAGAAAUGGAGCACAUAAGGCUGCAGAUCACCAAAAGAAAAAAGGAAAUACAACUGCUGGACCAUCAGUUAAAGGAAGUAAAGAAGACCCCAUAAAAUGA